rnacentral:tRNA from 1 species
AGUGGCGUAGAUUAUGUUUACGAUCAAUUAAACUACAACUUAAAUGUUAAUUUUAAUGGACGUAAAAUUGUAGGUGAUAACCCUAACGAUAUUA